AUCGAUUUUUUUCCUUUGAAAAAAUGUAAAAGGCUUUUUCACGUUGAGAGCAUUAUUCCCGCUGUUGUGUCUUCUUAUAUACGUUUUGCAGCAUGUUUUAAUCCUUUUAUUGCCUUUUUGUAUAUAUUAGAACCAGUCUGGUUGCGGGUGAAUCGCCAGUCGUCAGCCUAACCUCCCCCUCCUGAUCCCUCCAUGGAUUCUUCGAAGAUUCAAGCUCCAAAAAUGAUUAUAGUCCGACACUGGCUGUAGUACUCAGAGACUGAAGACGGUCCGAUGCAGUAGAGGAGCAUGUUGGUGUCUCCGGCCAAACUUCACGAACAGCCCAACAACCUGAAGACAAUCUGUUAGUGAGUGGACAUUUCUCUGGUGGAGUGAAGAGAGGAACUGUCUCUUAUCAACAGAAACUGGAUAAGAAAUGAUGGAUCUGAAUAUCAGGUUGGUCUGUUAUGUAAUGUACAUAUCUGGCAAUCCACCUGUUAAA